AAAAAACAGAGAGGGAAAAAGCAGUCAUCAGCGACGCGUGUUAACAACUGAAGCUACAUGUCAAAAGAUAGACGGAUGCUUGAGCAAGCAGGAGAAAAAUAUAAAGGAAUGUAAUUAAGCAUUUUCUCCAAGAAGCAAUGUCAGAAACAAUUCGAUCGGCCCGAACCCUUUUACCAAAUCAAGAAACCAAGCUAGGGGAGGAACCAAAAAACUGAAGAAGAAAUGCACAAGCAAACAAGCAAAUGUGUCUAUGCAGAGAAUGCUGCUGCAAAUGCAAGAGUCUCAGCAACAAUUUCGGCGUAAUAAAUGACUAUGCACAGCUAGCGAGCGCAAUCAGUAUAAACACUGCUCCACUGCAAGAUUUUUUUUCCUUUUUAUUUUUCAAAGCAAGCAUAUUGUUCCUAAGAAGUUUUUUUAAGACAAUAUACUGAACCUGCAGAAGCUAACAGACAUGCAGAAGUUGUCUCUCUGCAUUGGUCCUA